rnacentral:rRNA from 1 species
GACGAACCGUGCGAACGUUGUUCGGAAUCACUGGGCCUAAAGGGCGCGUAGGCGGCUUAUCAAGUCAGGGGUGAAAUCCGGCAGCUCAACUGUCGAAGUGCCCUUGAUACUGACGAGCUCGAGGGAGGUAGGGGUCUGUGGAACUUCCGGUGGAGCGGUGAAAUGCGUUGAUAUCGGAAGGAACGCCGGUGGCGAAAGCGACGGACUGGACCUCUUCUGACGCUGAGGCGCGAAAGCCAGGGGAGCAAACGGG